AUUCCAGCUCCAAUAGCGUAUACUAAAGUUGUUGCAGUUAAAAAGCUCGUAGUUGAAUUUCUGGAUGCGAAAGAUGGUCGGCACCUCACGGUGUCUGCACCUAUCAUUCGCGUUCAUCCUCGGGAGGAACGUGUGGUCUCUUUAGUGAGCCCGCUCGGGAAUCUCGUCAUUUACUGUGAGCAAAAUAGAGUGUUCAAAGCAGGCUUAUGCCGUUGAAUAUAUUAGCAUGGAAUAAUAAGAUACGACUUUGGUCUAUUUUGUUGGUUUGCAUUCCAAAGUAAUGAUUAAUAGGGAUAGUUGGGGGUAUUCGUAUUCAAUUGUCAGAGGUGAAAUUCUUGGAUUUAUGGAAGACGAACUACUGCGAAAGCAUUUACCAAGGAUGUUUUCAUUG
rnacentral:rRNA from 1 species